AUUGAACGCUGGCGGCAGGCUUAACACAUGCAAGUCGAGCGAGCGGCGGACGGGUGAGUAAUGUCUGGGAAACUGCCUGAUGGAGGGGGAUAACUACUGGAAACGGUAGCUAAUACCGCAUACCAUCAGAUGUGCCCAUAUGGGAUUAGAUAGUAGGUGAGGUAACGGCUUACCUAGGCGACGAUCCCUAGCUGGUCUGAGAGGCUGAUCAGCCAAACUGGGGCUGGGACACGGCCCAGACUACUACGGGAGGCAGCGGUGGGGAAUAUUGCACAAUGGGCGAAAGCCUAAUGCGGCCAUGCCGCGUGUAUGAAGAAGGCCUGCGGGUUGUAAAGUACUUUCAGUCGGGAGGCGUUACCGACAGAAGAAGCACCGGCUAACUCCGUGCCAGCAGCCGCGGUAAUAC
rnacentral:rRNA from 1 species